rnacentral:lncRNA from 1 species
CUUAUCUUCUAGGUUUGUGGGGAGGUCUGCUGAGAGCCUGUGCAUCCUACAGUCUGGCAUGGGACAAACUACACAGCUUAAAGGCAUAGCCAAAAUGAAGACACACACAUUGUCAGAAGACCUUCACCACGGAGCUUCCCCCCCCCACCACCAAAGGGAUCAACCAGCCUCUCCAGCCAGGCGCCUCCUCUGAGCACCAGAUUUACUAUAUGCAACUACUUAACACCACCAGAGCUACCCUCCCCUCCAACUCGCAUGUCUCCCACAUCUCAGUAAACAGCA